GACGAACGCUGGCGGCGUGCUUAACACAUGCAAGUCGAACGGAAAGGCCCUGCUUUUGUGGGAUGCUCGAGUGGCGAACGGGUGAGUAACCCGUGAGUAACCUGCCCUUGACUUUGGGAUAACUUCAGGAAACUGGGGCUAAUACCGGAUAGGAGCUCCUGCUGCAUGGUGGGGGUUGGAAAGUUUCGGCGGUUGGGGAUGGACUCGCGGCUUAUCAGCUUGUUGGUUGGGUUGUGGCUUACCAAGGCUUUGAAGGGUAGCCAGCCUGAGAGGGUGACCGGCCACAGAGGGACAGAGAUACGGCCCAGACUCAUACGGGAGGCAGGAGUGGGGAAUAGUGCAAAAUGGGCGGAAGCCAGAUGCAGCAACGCCGCGUGCGGGAUGACGGCCUUCGGGUAGUAAACCGCUUUCGCCUGUGACGAAGCGUGAGUGACGGUAAUGGGUAAAGAAGCACCGGCUAACUACGU
rnacentral:rRNA from 1 species